ensembl:lncRNA
CUUCAUACAAAACAUAUCGGUAUGAAUACAACUUCAUACAAAACAUAUCGGUAUGAAUACAACUUCAUACAAAACAUAUCGGUAUGAAUACAAUUUCAUACAAAACAUAUCGGUAUGAAUACAACUUCAUACAAAACAUAUCGGUAUGAAUACAACUUCAUACAAAACAUAUCGGUAUGAAUACAACUUCAUACAAAACAUAUCGGUAUGAAUACAACUUCAUACAAAAUGUUGUUGUGUUUUUCGUGUACAGUGCCAUUACAUUCUUGACAUAAUUCUCAGAAUUGUAAACCUGAAACGUUUCAAUAGAUUAUGAAGAGAACAUGCUUGUCAUUGUGUUUUGUAGUUUGUAUGUCGUCUUUUUUGUAUGUAGUCUUUUUUGUAUGUAUCUUUUUUUGUACGUAGUCUUUUUUGUACGUAGUCUUUUUUGUACGUCGUCUUUUUUGUACGUCGUCUUUUUUGUACGUAGUCUUGUAUGCUAUCUCAAGGAUGCUCUCAACUGCACUAAUGCAGACCUACCGUAGCACUGCUGAAUCUGUACAACAAACCUUUCUUUGACUUUACUUCACAUUGUUUUUUAUUGUGAUAGUAAUGAUUUAUUUAACGAUUGGUGUUUUUGUAGGUGAAAUUUAGGGCUGUAUUUGUGAUUUUACUUCAUGUGGCAUGUAAUGUCAGCCAAAGAAAUGUUGAUGCUGUGUAGAAUCCUCUCCUUAGACUUUCAAAAUAGAAUACCAAGGUUGUUUUAUUAAAAGUCAUAUCGGCUCUCUGAAGGUUGUGUUUCUCCAUUAAGCUCAGGCAUUACAAAUCCAUCAUUUUAACUAGUCUGAUGGGUGCACAAGUUUGUGUGUGUGGGCAUGCGGGUGUGUGUGGGUAUAGCAAGGUUUACUAUCAUAUUAUAAAGCCCUCAAACUCAACUCUGGACCUCGAAGCCAGUUCCAUUGCAUAAUUUCAUUGUUCCCCUCUAAUCAGGGACUUGUUUAGACCUGGGACACCAGGUGGGUGAAAUUAAUUAUCAGGUAGAACAGAAACCCAGCAGGCUCCGGACCUCGUAGGGUCAGAGUUGAAUAGCCCUGUUAUAGAGGAAGAUAUGCUCUCACAGUGGCUUCACACAUCAGAUCACAAAAUACAGCUGGCUUCCAUUAGUACUUUAUAUGAAGAGGAGUGAGUGGAACAGUUCAUGUCUGUUUAGGCAACGGAGAGAAAGACAGAGAUAUUUAACGGCCCUGUUUUUAUACUAUAUUGUUCAACAGCUGAUGAAACUAACACUGAAGAAGUGUGAAACAAUGUGAUCAGUGUUAUUUCCUGAUAAUUGCUGGUUGAAAAUACAAAAUCGACACAGGACCUUCUGGUCAGCAGGUUUUCAUGGGUGGAGUCUCGGUUUUCCAUGGUGACAUCACCAUGCGGUAAAUUGGUUAAAGGCCCAGUGCAGUCAAAAAAACAUGAUAUACCUGUGUUUAUUUAUAUAUACUGUAUGUAUGUGUGUGUGUGUAUAUAUAUA